AUGUCGUCCUGGCUGAUAGUGAUAGGGCCGAUAUCGCACUGCCGGCCGUGGUGCGUGCGGAUGCAGAGUUGCGAGCCGUUCCUGUCAGCUCUGACCAUGGUGGCGCCAACGCUGUCCCGCUGCAAGGCAUCCACCAGUUUGGCUGCGGUUUGCUCCAGCUGGGUGAACAGAUCGGCUGCCCCGUUCCUGGACACGGCAAAACCAGGGCUCCUCACCAUCUUCUCCACCGGCCUCCUCCGGCGUAGGCGAACUCGCCCUCCCCGCCGCAGCAGAGACCAGGCACAAAUUGACCCCAUGGCCAACCACCUGGAAGCAGCCAAACGCGACGGCCGCCGACCUCAGAGCCUCCACCACCGGACCACUGCCAUCCGGCGUGUCCAGCAGGCGCAUGUCGAUGACUGGGGGAGCCCACGCCGCCUUAUCACUCUUCUUCUUCCGCGGGAUGGCCCUCUCCGGCAGCCGCAGCACCGGGACCUUGGCGGAGCGACGCAGGAACCUGCCGACCUCGUCAUCUUCGUUGCCGUCGGGGCACUCACCGUACUCAGGUGA
rnacentral:rRNA from 1 species